UUCUUGAACACAAAGUGAAUUCUAUCCCCCUCUCACUACAAUUCUGUGGAUAUCUGGAAGGUGAUAGAGAAUGCACCCUGAGUUAUUGAAUUUGCAUGCAUUUGACAUGUCUGUCAGCAUCAGCUUCUGGUCUUUGCUGCAGGCUCACAUGGUGCUGCGUCUCCGUGGGCAGCUUGCAGCAAGAGAACUUGGCACACCUGAAGCCUUCUUGAUUAGAAAAGACAAACCUUAAUGGGCACAGUUCUUCUUUCUAUCCUAAUUCUUUCUUUUCCAUAGCUCUCUGCUGUCCUCACUCUUAGGCAAAUAUGCCUUAUCUUAAUUUCUGUCGUUCAUAUUUCUUUUCCUCUGUGUUGCUCACCUCAUCGUAAAGCCGCAAAUACCUCUUUUGCUACAUCUCACUGUUCAUUAGGCUAUUUAGGCCUCUCCCAGCUGCUCCAGCUGGGCUUUUUAAUUGGAACAAGGGUGCCCGAGGGUGAAAAGAAGAAAAGAGAAGAUGAGGGAGCGAGGAGGGGAGAACGAUGUGGUUUGAAAGGGCAGAUUCAAAUAUUUCUUGCAGGUGGGGGAGAAAGGAGCAUCCCUGCAAGCAAGCAAGAGCUGAGCAAAGGCGAGGAGGAAUGGAAAGGAGGGGGCUAGGUGAGAGACAGGUGAAGGGAGUUUAAGAAACCCUGAUUAGUUAAUGUUUGUAAAGUGUUUCUGAGAGCAAUGUUACAUGUAUAUGCUAAUCUGCUAAUUAUUAUUUUGUGGUGUGUCUUGGUUGAUGCAAUCAUGUAUGAUUAAUCACAGCUGACUUGUCAAUAGCAGUGAAUGAUGGGAGUGUAAUACAAAAAUUAAGCAGCAAUUAAGGUCAAGCUCCUUCUCUCUUUCCAGAGUAGAAGGGGAUUUUCUCAAGGCUUACUUCAAAUGCUGUAGAGGAUGCCCUGGUUGAGUGGGAUGAGCUCUUCCUCCAGCAGAAGGACCCUCCUGGUUGCACCCCAGCAUGGAUAAGAAUAACUGUGCAGAAGAGGCGGAUGAGAGUGCCUUUGCCAGUACUGCACUUUUUGGGUGCUCUUCUUUCAGGUCGUGCUUGAAUGUUGUGAGAUGCCAUCAUUUUGGGGAAGAAAUCUCUACCAAGGUCAUUCUAUUUGCUGCAUAACUUGCAUUUCCUCACUUACUUUGGGAAGACCCUGCAGUGAAAAGCGGUGUCUUGAGGUGACAGUUAUUCUGAUUUGGAAUUUUGUGUACAAUAAUUAAACAGUCAGGUACCAGCAGACAUGUGUUACCUUGAGAUAACAGGCUCCUUGGAAAUAUCAUGAAGCAGAAGGUGAAAUUAGUGCCUCCAAUGACCUGGGAAACACAUUAUCUCACUACUGCACAAGCUUGAGGGUGUAUUGUUACUGUAUACCAACUAUUAGCAUUCUUAGGUGCAUCGUGAUUGAUUGUACCAUGUAAAACAUAUGUUUAAAACAUGUUCACCGUUGUGCACCAUGCGAUAAUUAUGUCUGACUCUGAAGGACCAAUGUAUCACGUGUGAGCCAACAGGAGCAUGAAGUAUUGUUUUUUCUCACUGGGAUAUGCAAGACUGGUAAAAGUGAUCUUGAAAGGGACUUGAGCGUCGGAGUCCCACAGAUUCAACAAGACCAAUGUCCGUAAUGCAGUAGAGAGAGUACUUGCAUGCAAUUGGCUCACAACUGUUGCGUAUUAUUUGCUUCUUUGCAAAUAUAUAUGUGUGCAUCUGUGUGUUUGCACGGCCAGAGCAGCUCUCACAGUGUUCGUUUUUAACCCGCGUCUAUUUCGGCCCCCCAGUGCUGUCAGUUGUUUCAUUUUUCAGGUGACUGAUAGGAAGCUUUGUUUUCUACCACUGAACAGGCUGGCACUGUACCCGGGAUGUGGGUCAGCUGGUUAGCACAGCCCUGGCAGACAAUGGGCUUUGUGUUUCUUGCUUCUUCUCAGAGCUCUGCAGCGAGGCAUCACAUCAGAUGGAAAAGAAGGUCUACCUUUAAUCUGAGCUACUUGGGAAAUCAAAGGGGGUGGAUUAAAACAAGUGUGGUGACUGAUACCCAUAGGAGAUCGCUUUCCUGUUCCAGUUGAUAUAAUGAACAGGAUAAUCAAAGCAAGGUUAGAACCCCCCUGUACCUUUUCUCCAAGGUUUUUUUGUGAUGUCGGUUCACAAGGUACUAUAAUAACUGAACACACGUGUGAUAAUGAUUUAAAAAUAGUUGUUUUUUUUUUUUACCUUAAAAUAAUUUACAUAUAUCUGCUCCGGAAAAGCGUGUGUUUUAUGAAUCAUCAGGCUUGUAGUUAAACAUGUUUAACCUUAUUAAACCUGCAGCUCUCUGUUUCUUUGCAUCUUGGUGUCCUUUGGUCUUUGCUAAAAAUAGUUGCAGUGCCUACACAUAAGGACUGCAUUUAAAUGAUAUGGUGGGAUGUUGCUUUAACAUUGGAUUUGAACAUUCAGUAAUGGACAAAAGAUCUCGCUCAUGCUCAGAGAAAAGAGCAUUAAGAGGAAGACGGGUACUGUGGAAAGAGGUAACAGGUUUGGCUGGGCUGUAAGGUAACAACCUACUGACUCGUAGUAAUUCCUCUCUCCUUGAAAUCAGUGUGCUGCCAGGACUGUGCUGGUUUCUCUACAAGGAUUCCCCAGAAGGGCAAGAACAGGUUGUUAUACACAUCCUCCACACCGCCGCGGCCGAUCGUGUGUGCAGUUGGUAAACAUGAAGCGGGUUCUCCUCAGGGCUUCUCCAGUGGUCCCACAUCAAGGUCUCUCUUUACAUGUCCUCACUUAGUGCUGGGGGUGCAGCACUAUGAGGGGGUAGCCCACAAGCUGCCUCCUGCUGUAUUUGCUGCAGUGUCCCGGGAGAAUCCUACAGAAACACUAAUGCACUGACCCUGGGUCUCCCCACCAGCUCUCCUUGUAGCUGGUACCAUGUGAAAGCGUGAGUAGUGCUUUCAUGUAAAGGGAAGCCUCUACUGGCAAUAGCUCCCAUAUAAGUGAAAUGUGUUACUUUAAUGUGUUUUAGACAAUUUGGUGAUUUUUUUUUUUAAUUUUCUUUUUUUUUUUUAUGAUAAGGUUAUCCAACAGUGCAAGAUCUUGGCUAAUUCUGUGCUUUCUGUCUUAGCACUUCAGUCGAAUCCACACGGGAUGGUGGUAUUCAGCUCUGCAUUACUGCUAUUUCUCACUUUAAUGACCCUGGUAAAUCUUUAAUGAUUGCCAUCACUGUCAGAAGGGCACAAAGGGCCCUCGUCUGUCUUGAUGCAACCUAAGAAAGUAUGCUCACAGAUGUCAAUUAAAGUAAUGGCACUGGUGGUAGGUCACUUGUAUUUUUAUGGGUGCCACCUCUUCUUGCAAAAAGCAGCAUAAAAAUUCCACUCAAAAUCAUUAUAGUCACUAAAAAAGUAAAUGUAGGUGUCUUAGGUUUUAUUUUGAUUAAGCAGGGCAGCACAUUCCAGACAAAAUGAACUGGGACAGGCACUUCACAGAGAGGGCUUGAUCAUUUCAGUAAGGUAGAAUGCCUAAGAUAUAAGCUGUUAUUUUAAAUUAGGUAUCCUGAAGUGUGAAAUGUUCAUCCUGUAAUCCUUGUUUGAAAGUCUGUGUUGGAGAAAUUCAUUUAACAUUAGAACCAAGGUUUUUUUCCACCACUUAAACAUUGUUUCAUCAUGAGUGAUUUCUCUAUCACAGCGUAGCCUUUAAGAUACAAUUCUCUCAAAUUAUGGGGUAUGUAAGCAGCCCUGUGAGCUAGGAACUGGAUAUACAGUUCUCCUGUUUUCAUUAAUAGCAGUUGCCUGCCUAAUUCAGUGAGCAGCACAGAGAAAACGUAGCCCCAUGGGUCAACGUCAAUGGAUUCAAUGAGGUCUUCACCCUCUAAAAAUGUCAUUAGUGGAAGUAAUAGCUGGCUGUGGGCCCUAGUGCUUGCUAUAGCUGCAGCACGCUGGCUCUCUGGAGAGCAGAAGUCUAAUGCAGAGGUGGUCAAGCUAGUCAGGGGAAACUCCCAUCCAUUGUUCACUGCUGGCCAGCCACUUGUGGUCUUAACAAGUCUGUAAACCUUUCAGAGAGUUAGACUUUCAGCCUAAAAUUAAGCUCACCUCAGUGGCCCAUGGGCUGUGUUUGACAGGGUGGGAGUGAUGUCUAUCAUUAGUCUUCUUCCCCACUCUUGUCCUGUAUCACCACCUCACCUGAAUAUAAGGAUAGGCCCUGAACCAUUGCAACCUAUCUCCACCCCUCUCAAUAUCAAAUUUUCAUACUAAGCCAACCUAGAUCUUGAGGGGGUUUCAUUGCCUACCAGGAGGUACUCCUAUAUGUUGUCAUACCUGGUUCAGCUGCAGCACUGAGAACUCCGAUGCUUUCCAUACGAACGGUCAAGAAGCUGUGUCUCUAAACCUAAUCUAUAAGAUGUGAUUUUUACAUAAGAACCCACCUUCUUGUGCUGCACUUCAAAACUGAGAAAACUUAAGAACAUUUUUGGUGCAUGUGGCAGAUAGUAUUUUAAUCCAUACAACAUCCCGAGCAUGAGAGUAGGGAAGGGUGGAUGACCUAGGAAAACACUGUAAUCUUAGUCUUAUUAAAAAAAAAUAUUAAAAAUUCAAGCAUUGACAUUGGAUACCCUAGGUCAUUAUUUUAUCCAUAAAGCAUAUAUUCAUAACAGGGUUUUAUUACACUUCUGUGUUCACCUAACUUUGUAGUCUCUUUUGAUUUUAUGUCUGUAGUUAUUUUCCACUUCCAAGUCGUUUGAUCUAUGUUUUCCUUUAGACCUCUGCCUCUGUAUAGAUUACUAGAAAGGAGUUCAAUUACAAUUUUGUCUCUGAUGUGGAUAUUUCUUUAGUGAAGGUUGUACAAUGACGUGUCCUUCCUUAGGCUCUGUUUCAAAUAGGGCUUCAAAUGGGAACUAAAAAUAAAACCGCACCAAAACAAUCUGUGUAGUCCAAGACAUGCUUCGAUUGAGCUUUCAUGAGUAUGUGAUUGAUACAUCAGCAGCAAAUGUUUCCUGAUCUUCAGUGCUACAAGUUUUGAGUAGUCCCAGGUCUGUUAAUGUUAUACUUGUGAGUUUUACAUAAGGCUCUUAAAAAUAAUAGCAGGAUCUCGAAGAAUGCAUGCGAGUACCAGAUUUAGUUAUAAUUUUAGGAUGCAAAAUUUCUAUUUUAAAUAUGCCUUUUUUUUUUUUUUGCUUGGAUGUGGAAU